ensembl:snoRNA SNORD58 Small nucleolar RNA SNORD58
UUACUGUGAUGACUAUGGGGUGGACACCUUUGAAAUAACCAUGAAAGAAAGCAAUUCUGAGCAGC